rnacentral:lncRNA from 1 species
CUCCUCGUUUUGUCCUUAAAUUGUUUCAGAUUAUCUGACUGUUGUGUCUCUUCGUCAAUUGCAAGUGUUCUAAUGAUUAUAAACAGAAAUAUGUUGUUGGAACAAUAUGUAUGAUGAAUAUUUUUUUAUUCUCUGUUUUCUGAAUUACUUUAUAGGGACCCUGGCAAGUGAUGUCUUCUUCCAGGCCUAUCUUUUGGAUGGGCUAUCAAGGUGGAAUGAGGACCGGGCUGUGGCAGCAUCAAAGGAUGAGCAGUCGUGCUCAUACAACCAUCUGCUCCGUCAUGCUGCUAACACCCUAGCAGAGGAGGUUCUGGGCGAAAAGAUCAUCCCUUAUGUCGGGCCAAGACAAUACACAGGUUGAUUAUUGUUAUAUGAUUGUUUGUUUUUGAUUUCUUCAACUUAUGCUUUCAUCUAAUGUUUAACUUUUUUUGUGUUCUUGUUUGUGCUUUUUCUUUUCUUUUCUUUUCUUUUUUUGUCUUGUUUUGUUAAAUCAUCAUUUUGAAGGUGAGCUUUUAGGUGUGGAAUACCUCUAUCAGCAAACUGGCAAAGUUCUGCAGGACCACAAAGUGGUCAUUGAAGAGUCUGAGACCACUGAAGUUGAGAUAGAUGAGGGCUUCACAGGACAUGACAGUACCCACACUAGAGGCAGAGCAAGCACUUCUCACCUCACAAGCAUCUGCAGCUGUUCCUGGUUCCUCAGCACCUCCAUCUCCUCAGGCUACUGCCUUUGUGCCUCCCAUUCCCCCCGUUAUCCCUCUGUUGCCAGUGACUCAGUCACAUGUCGCCUCAUCAUCAGCUUCUGCAGCUCCUUCACCUGCUGUGACCGCUCUGCUCCCCCAUUCCACACAAACAGUUUCUCCUGCAGAACAGUCUACAUCAGCGCCAUCUACUGAUCCAUCUCCACACUCCUCCUCAUGCCAUGAUUGGGUUGGCCCUGAUAACAUUGAAGGGUAUGGCGCAGUGCAGGAUCUGGCUGAUUACUUGGCUGGACUAAGAGACCACCGUCUUGCGCUGACUCAGGAGGAAUGUAGUCAGGUCAUUGCUCUGGGGCA